UAACGACUCUCGGCAACGGAUAUCUCGGCUAACGCAUCGAUGAAGAACGUAGCAAAAUGCGAUACUUGGUGUGAAUUGCAGAAUCCCGUGAACCAUCGAGUUUUUGAACGCAAGUUGCGCCCGAAGCCAUUCGGUUGAGGGCACAUCUGCCUGGGCGUCACGU
rnacentral:rRNA from 1 species